UACGUAGGAGACGAGCGUUGUCCGGAAUUACUGGGCGUAAAGCGCGUGUAGGCGGAUGAGCAAGUCUGCUGUGAAAGCUCCUGGCUUAACCGGGAGUGGUCGGUGGAAACUGCUCGUCUGGAGGACGGUAGAGGUAGGUAGAAUUCCCGGUGUAGUGGUGAAAUGCGUAGAGAUGUGGAGGAACACCGAUGGCGAAGGCAGCCUCCUGGGCCAGCACUGACGCUCAGGCACGAAAGCGUGGGGAGCAAACAGG
rnacentral:rRNA from 1 species